rnacentral:lncRNA from 1 species
GGGUUAAAACAUUGUAAAGCAUUCUCUUCAUACCUGCAGGGUGUUGUAAAAAUUCACUGUGUACCGUAGUCAGGGAAAUAUAUGGUCAAGAGUAGAGGUCCUUUCUUCUCAAUCUUGUUACUUGGAGUUUUUGUAUACUUUUGAAAAGAAAUUUAGCAUACCUUUAUCCUCAUAGGUGCUCUCAGAUCACUCAUUAUCUUUUAUAUAUCUCACUUAGGCUGUUUUUAAUUUAUAGGAAUUCUCAAGCACACUUACAUUUAUUGCUUGAUCCAAACAGGAUCCGAGGAGAGGACUUAGAUAAAGACUUUGGAAAAUAAAAACUUGUCAACUCUUGCUGGCAUAUUACUUAUUAGAGGGACCAUGGGCUAUUAUUUUCUUUCUUUUCUCUUUUUUUUUCAGGUGGAUACCAAGGUACCCCUAAUUCUACUGCCGGACACUUGUCCAUUUUUUCUGCGAGGUUGUCGAGCACUUGCUCCUUUUUAUUUCCUCAAAAUAUCCUUAUUUUUACAUAGCCCCAUGCCUCUAACGCAAAAAUACUUUGGAAGAGUGAAUCUUUCUAAAUAAAUGUCUUGAUCUUAGGAGUAUG